GACGAACGCUGGCGGCGUGCUUAACACAUGCAAGUCGAACGGUAAGGCCUUCGGGUACACGAGUGGCGAACGGGUGAGUAACACGUGGGUGAUCUGCCCCCUACUCUGGGAUAAGCCUGGGAAACUGGGUCUAAUACCGGAUAUGACCUCCUGCUUCAUGGUGGGUGGUGGAAAGUUUUUCGGUAGGGGAUGAGCCCGCGGCCUAUCAGCUUGUUGGUGGGGUAAUGGCCUACCAAGGCGACGACGGGUAGCCGGCCUGAGAGGGCGACCGGCCGCACUGGGACUGAGACACGGCCCAGACUCCUACGGGAGGCAGCAGUGGGGAAUAUUGCACAAUGGGCGAAAGCCUGAUGCAGCGACGCCGCGUGGGGGAUGACGGCCUUCGGGUUGUAAACCCCUUUCAGUCGGGACGAAGCGUGAGUGACGGUACCGAUAGAAGAAGCACCGGCCAACUACGUGCCAGCAGCCGCAGUAAAAC
rnacentral:rRNA from 1 species